rnacentral:lncRNA from 1 species
GGAGGAUGUGACCUUCAGGAAUGGGUGCUUAAGAAUUUCAUAUGUGCUUGAGAAUUUUUAACUUCUAAAAUUGACAUGACUUGAACCUUUCCCUUUCAGCUGAAAACACCUUCUUUCCGAUGUUUUGCUUCUUUCCCGAGAGUUAAUCUAGAUCUUCUUGGAGGUAAAACACCUUUCCCAAAGGGACCCGUUGAGUCUGAGAGCAGCCGUGUACGAGGGAGCAGCUUGGCCACAGGGUGGAGCGUUCGGAUCUCUGCAGGGAAAAUCCAGAAGCUGCCUGCCUGCCAGGAUCCUCCAGCAGAGAGGGGUGUUGCAAGUCCUUUGAGUACUCCCGAGAGCGCUGAUCCUUACGGCUCAUCCUGGGCAAUGCUCGACUUGGACCACACAGAAGGGAAAGGCUAAGGACCAGCAGCAGAUGCAGGAACUUUACUUAAUAAAUUGCUAAUAUAUCCUCA